AACAAACGCUGGCGGCGUGCCUAACACAUGCAAGUCGUACGUGAAAGGGUCCUUCGGGAUCCGAGUAAAGUGGCGCACGGGUGAGUAACGCGUGGAUAAUCUGCCCUUUAGUCGGGAAUAACUCAUCGAAAGGUGGGCUAAUACCGGAUAAUGCUGUUUUUACCUCGGUGAGACAGCCAAAGGGGGCCUCUACUUGUAAGCUCUCGCUUAAGGAUGAGUCCGCGUACCAUUAGCUAGUUGGUAGGGUAAAGGCCUACCAAGGCGACGAUGGUUAGCUGGUCUGAGAGGAUGAUCAGCCACACUGGAACUGAGACACGGUCCAGACUCCUACGGGAGGCAGCAGUGAGGAAUCUUGCGCAAUGGGGGAAACCCUGACGCAGCAACGCCGCGUGAGUGAGGAAGGUCUUCGGAUCGUAAAGCUCUGUCGGGUGGAAAGAAAGGCAUGGGAGCCAAUACCUCUCAUGUUUGACGGUACCACCAAAGGAAGCACCGGCUAACUCCGUGCC
rnacentral:rRNA from 1 species